GCAGGAUGUGGCUCAUGGAGAGCAUCGGGCCAAAAGCUCGAAGGCAUCGGUUCGAUUCCGGUCUCUUGCUCCA
rnacentral:tRNA from 1 species